rnacentral:rRNA from 1 species
UACGGGGGGAGCAAGCGUUGUUCGGAUUUACUGGGCGUAAAGGGCGCGUAGGCGGUCAGCACAAGUCAGUUGUGAAAUCUCCGGGCUUAACCCGGAAAGGUCAACUGAUACUGCGCGGCUAGAGUGCAGGAAGGGGCAACUGGAAUUCUCGGUGUAGCGGUGAAAUGCGUAGAUAUCAGGAGGAACACCGGUGGCGAAGGCAAUCCCCUGGGCCUGCACUGACGCUCAUGCACGAAAGCGUGGGGAGCAAACAGG